rnacentral:rRNA from 1 species
UACAGAGGUCUCAAGCGUUUGUUCGGAUUCAUUGGGCGUAAAGGGUGCGUAGGCGGCGCGGUAAGUCGGGUGUGAAAUCUCGGAGCUUAACUCCGAAACUGCAUUCGAUACUGCCGUGCUUGAGGACUGGAGAGGAGGCUGGAAUUUACGGUGUAGCGGUGAAAUGCGUAGAUAUCCGGAGGAACACCGGUGGCGAAGGCGGCUUCCUGGACCGACACUGACGCUGAGGCGCGAAAGCGUGGGGAGCGAACCGG